rnacentral:miRNA from 1 species
UACCCGUAGACUUUCUGUCGGA